GACGAACGCUGGCGGCGUGCCUAAUACAUGCAAGUUGAGCGCUCAAGAUUGAUGCUUGCCCCCACUUGAAGAGCAGCGAACGGGUGAGUAACGCGUGGAGACUCUCCCUUGAAGCGGGGGACAACAUUUGCAAACGACUGCUAGUACCGCAUAACAACUUUAACCCUACGCUUUAAGAUUGAAAGCUGCAAUUGCAUCACCCAAAGAUGCACCAGCGUUUUAUUAGCUAGUUGGUGCGGUAAAGGCGCACCAAGCCGAUGAUACAUAGCCGACCUGAGAGGGCGAUCGGCCACAUUUGGCCUGAGACACGGCCCACACUCCUACGGGAGGCAGCAGUAGGGAAUCUUCGGCCAUGGAAGCAAGUCUGACCGCGCCACGCCGCGUGAGUGAAGAAGGGGUUCGGAUCACAAAACUCUGUUCGUAGAGAAGAACGGUGGUGAGACAGGAAAGCUCAUCAAGUGACGGGAACGUCACAGAAAAGGAGGGCUAGCCACGUG
rnacentral:rRNA from 1 species